rfam:Otolemur garnettii contig182208, whole genome shotgun sequence.
AUUGAAAAAUUUAGUGCUUGCUUUGGCAGCAUAUAUACAGAGAAUAUUAGCAUGACCUUUGCACAAGGAUGAUGUGCAAAUUCUUGAAGUGUUCCAUAUUUUU